UACGUAGGGUGCAAGCGUUGUCCGGAAUUAUUGGGCGUAAAGAGCUCGUAGGCGGUUUAUUGCGUCGGCUGUGAAAUCCCGAGGCUCAACCUCGGGUCUGCAGUCGAUACGAGCAAACUAGAGUGUUGCAGGGGAGACUGGAAUUCCUGGUGUAGCGGUGAAAUGCGCAGAUAUCAGGAGGAACACCGGUGGCGAAGGCGGGUCUCUGGG
rnacentral:rRNA from 1 species